CCAGAGUUUGAUCAUGGCUCAGGAUGAACGCUAGCGGCAGGCUUAAUACAUGCAAGUCGAACGGUAACAGGUGUAGCAAUACAUGCUGACGAGUGGCGCACGGGUGCGUAACACGUAUGCAACCUACCCUUUACUGGGGGAUAACCCUGAGAAAUUAGGGCUAAUACCCCAUGGUAUUCAGAUAGGGCAUCUUAUUUGAAUUAAAGAUUUAUUGGUAAAGGAUGGGCAUGCGUCCCAUUAGUUAGUUGGUGAGGUAACGGCUCACCAAGACUGUGAUGGGUAGGGGUUCUGAGAGGAUUAUCCCCCACACUGGUACUGAGACACGGACCAGACUCCUACGGGAGGCAGCAGUAAGGAAUAUUGGGCAAUGGGCGCAAGCCUGACCCAGCCAUGCCGCGUGCAGGAAGACGGCCUUAUGGGUUGUAAACUGCUUUUAUGCGAGACUAAUCGCCCUGACGUGUCGGGGUUUGCAGGUAUCGCAUGAAUAAGCAUCGGCUAACUCCGUGCCAGCAGCCGCGGUAAUACGGAGGAUGCGAGCGUUAUCCGGAUUUAUUGGGUUUAAAGGGUGCGUAGGCGGGCAAGUAAGUCAGUGGUGAAAGAUCCGGGCUCAACCGGGAUACUGCCAAUGAUACUGUUUGUCUGGAGUGUAAACGAAGUGGGCGGAAUGUGGAGUGUAGCGGUGAAAUGCAUAGAUAUUCCACAGAACACCGAUAGCGAAGGCAGCUCACUAGCAUACAACUGACGCUGAGGCACGAAAGUGUGGGGAGCAAACAGGAUUAGAUACCCUGGUAGUCCACGCUGUAAACGAUGAUCACUAGCUGUAGGCGAUACACUGUCUGUGGCUAAGCGAAAGCGAUAAGUGAUCCACCUGGGGAGUACGUCGGCAACGAUGAAACUCAAAGGAAUUGACGGGGGCCCGCACAAGCGGAGGAGCAUGUGGUUUAAUUCGAUGAUACGCGAGGAACCUUACCUGGGCUUGAACGUAUGGUGCAUGGGUGUGAAAGCAUCCUUUCCCUAGGGACUUCAUACGAGGUGCUGCAUGGCUGUCGUCAGCUCGUGCCGUGAGGUGUUAGGUUAAGUCCUGCAACGAGCGCAACCCCUGUUUCCAGUUGCCAGCAAGUGAUGUUGGGGACUCUGGAGAGACUGCCUGCGCAAGCAGAGAGGAAGGUGGGGAUGACGUCAAGUCAGCACGGCCCUUUACGUCCAGGGCUACACACGUGCUACAAUGGCCGGUACAGAGGGCAGCCACUGGGUGACCAGGCGCCAAUCUCCAAAGCCGGUCUCAGUUCGGAUCGGAGUCUGCAACCCGACUCCGUGAAGCUGGAUUCGCUAGUAAUCGUAUAUCAGCCAUGAUACGGUGAAUACGUUCCCGGGCCUUGUACACACCGCCCGUCAAGCCAUGGGAGUUAGGGGUACCUGAAGUCGAUGACCGUAAAAGGAGUCGCCUAGGGUAAACCUGAUGACUGGGGCUAAGUCGUAACAAGGUAACCGUA
rnacentral:rRNA from 1 species